AUUGAACGCUGGCGGCAGGCUUAACACAUGCAAGUCGAGCGGGGUGAUGGUGCUUGCACUAUCACUUAGCGGCGGACGGGUGAGUAAUGCUUAGGAAUCUGCCUAUUAGUGGGGGACAACAUCUCGAAAGGGAUGCUAAUACCGCAUACGUCCUACGGGAGAAAGCAGGGGAUCACUUGUGACCUUGCGCUAAUAGAUGAGCCUAAGUCGGAUUAGCUAGUUGGUGGGGUAAAGGCCUACCAAGGCGACGAUCUGUAGCGGGUCUGAGAGGAUGAUCCGCCAAACUGGGACUGAGACACGGCCCAGAUUCCUGCGGGAGGCAGCAGUGGGGAAUAUUGGACAAUGGGGGGAACCCUGAUCCAGCCAUGCCGCGUGUGUGAAGAAGGCCUUAUGGUUGUAAAGCACUUUAAGCGAGGAGGAGGCUCUUUUGGUUAAUACCCAAGAUGAGUGGACGUUACUCGCAGAAUAAGCACCGGCUAACUCCGUGCCAGCCGCCGCCGUAA
rnacentral:rRNA from 1 species